UGGCCUAUAGUGUAACUAGUUAACACACAACUCUUUGAAAGUUGUAUUCCAAGUUCAAAUCUUGGUAGGCUAGCAA
rnacentral:tRNA from 1 species